rnacentral:rRNA from 1 species
UACGGGGGGGGCAAGCGUUGUUCGGAAUUACUGGGCGUAAAGGGCGCGUAGGCGGUUCGCUAAGUUGGAUGUGAAAACUCUGGGCUCAACCCAGAGCCUGCAUCCAAAACUGGCGGGCUAGAGUUCUGGAGGGGGUAGCGGAAUUCCUGGUGUAGCGGUGAAAUGCGUAGAUAUCAGGAGGAAUACCGGUGGCGAAAGCGACUCUCUGGACGGCAACUGACGCUGAGGCACGAAAGCGUGGGGAGCAAACAGG